UACGUAGGGGGCAAGCGUUAUCCGGAAUUACUGGGUGUAAAGGGUGAGUAGGCGGCAUGGUAAGCCAGAUGUGAAAGCCUUGGGCUUAACCCGAGGAUUGCAUUUGGAACUAUCAAGCUAGAGUACAGGAGAGGAAAGCGGAAUUCCUAGUGUAGCGGUGAAAUGCAUAGAUAUCACGCAGAACUCCGAUUGCGAAGGCAGCAUACCGGCGCCCUACUGACGCUGAGGCACGAAAGUGCGGGUAUCGAACAGG
rnacentral:rRNA from 1 species